rnacentral:piRNA from 1 species
UAAUUUUCAGAUGUUGUUGAA